rnacentral:sRNA from 1 species
AUAGUCUAGGUGACGCAGAUCCAAGAUGGAAAAGUAUAGCCUAGGUGGAGCAAAACAUAGCCUAGGUGGAGCAGAUCCCAGGUGGAAGAGCA